GCAUCUCAUGAGUCUCACUCACUGUAUUAACAUUAACAGCACAACCUGGACUUUAACUUUUGACAACUGGAAGUUAACUUUGGUGAUAAAUGAUAAUCUACGUAAAAAAUUAUACACCCUCUGGUAAGAUAAAUGUUCUUCCUUCUCAUAGUUUUGUGUAGCAACGGCUUUUCUUCGUAGAAAGUAGUGAAAUCAAUGAAACCCAGCAGAGCACUGAACGCCGAAAGCAAGGAAUUUCAGGUCAAUUAAUAAGUGUAACACGAUUUUGCACUAAUUCAUAAAUUUGUAGAUAGAAAGUUAAGAAUUUUACUGAUAACAGAGGAAAUCCCAAAUUUUAACUCAAUAUCUAAUAGUGAUGGAGAAUUCAUGGGAAGGGAUAUUGUAAAAUUAGGAUUCUUUUUGGGGAAAAUUGGUAGAUCGUGCUAGGGUUUGUGAAUUUCAGAAAUUGAUAAAAUUUGGAGUUUUAUCUUCUUCAUCCUCAAUAGUCCAGAAAGAGGGUCGUCAUUCAUGUAGCUAAGGGCUCAAAGUUAACUCCUUUUCACUGUAAGACCUUCUUCGGCGCUUCAUUUGCAGUCUUUAUGAUUAUUUUGGUUUGAAAAUUGUUUUAGCGUCUGUUGAUUUUGGUCUGUUAAUCAAUAUUUCAUUUUUUUAAUGGAUAUUAUGAGUAGUAGGGUUGGGUUCAUGUUGAUUUUUGUUUUAUCUAAACCUGUCGAAUGUUGAAGUAUAGCUGUUUGCAACAGAGUUUAAACACAAUUCAUUACUGCUAAAAUAUUGGCAAUAUAAGAGUUUUUGCUUGGCUGAAGUUUUAUUAUUGAGCAUCAAUAAAUCCCCUAAAGAUUAUGUUGUACAAACUACGUCAUUGUGCCCGGGCUAUAGACAGGCAACUACCCAUUAAACUAUAUUAGAAGUGCAAGUUAACAUGUGAGACAGGCGGCUCUUUCUCGACAUCUCUGCUUGCCGAGGACAUUGGUGUUUCAAAAAAAAAUUCACGGUAAUUGGCAGCUACCUCUACUAAUAAUCGCCGCUUCAGCUUUAAGUUUAUCCUUUUGCUUUGCAUUUUUUGGUCACUUUUCCUUUGGAUUUAGCUACCCUAUUUUGUAAUUUGUAUAAUCUUUGCGUGUUUGUCGAAGCUAAAUUUUCAGAGACGAGCUAAAGGCCAAAGAAUUUCAACGCGUCUGAUGAUAACUUACGAUGGGUAGAGGCUAUGUCCAGUGGAUUGUGUUUAUCUCAGGCCAAGGUUUAGGUGGACUCAUUUGGUCAUCUUUUUGCAACAUUGGUAACGUCGUCUUCCGCCAGCUGCACUUGUACUCUGUCAAGGUAAUUACAUGGGUUUAAAAGUUUUUCCGCUUUUAUGUUGUGUCUUUUACUAAAAUAAAAGCAUACCUUAAUCUCUUUAUGUACUAAAAAGAAGUUAACUCAAAGGUAAUCUUCUUCCCAGUAAAAACAAAUAGAAAAACAGAGGACGCUAUGUAAACUCAGAAUUAUAUCAAUAUCAACUUCAAGGAUAAAAGAAGGUUUUCCUGCCUAUUGUUAAAAGCCUUUUUUGGGAUUGGGAUCAUUGAUAUAAAAAAGUUUUUGGUUGACAUCAUACUAGAAGUACCGUGAAACUAACCGAGUUCCAAUAUGGUAACUUCUUUUUCUAUCUCUAUUGUAUUUCUUAAUUUUCUAUUGAAUAUCCCAGUAUAUUUUAUUGAUUUGAUCAGUUUUACUACUACGAUAUUAGAGAGUAACUCAAACAGGUGUUGAAAGUAUUGCUAUUUGUGUUACAAUGCAAGAAACUCUCUCCCAGGUCAUUCCCACUUUCAUCCUCUUUCUCAAUCUAUCUUCUGGUUCUACUUCUGAGAUUUGAUCUGUGUGUUCUGCGGCUCUCGAUGGCCUUUUGCAGUAAUCAUAUCUGCUUACUGUAAUUUUUCAUAAUAUAAUUUAAUUUGUUUUAUGGGAAACAUGCCAAACAUUCAAUGUUUGGAAUUACUCAAAGCUACCAACGACGUUUUCUUCUUUUACUUCCUGUGUAGCGCUUAUUUAGAAAUAUUUCUACCAGUAUUGCCAAAAGGUUAUAUCUAUUUUUUUGACUUAUACUAAUUCGACUCCAUAUUUUCCUUUUGGUUUUCUGCUGUGUUUGAUAUAUGUAACACUGAAGUUUUACACUUUGAAACCUCACCGCAUAAUGAUAAUUCUACUUUUGAAAAGAUUUUUGUUUUUGUCAAUGAAGUUUUAGAAUAAAAAGAGUUCGCCAGAAUGUUUUAGACAAUUUACUUGUAGUUCAGCAGAUGCACUAAUAAAAUACAUCUUUUCCUUGAAGAACUUGCAGAAUUACAGAAACUUAGCCAAAUAAUUUAACAUAGUAAUUCUAAAGUCAUUUGUACUUAUUUUGGCACUUUCUGUUUCAAUAAUUGUUAAUGUUAACGGUUUAGAUGCACUAUUUGAUGGAGAACUUGUGAUGUUUGUAGCAAAAGUACUCAACUAAGAACUCUAAGGAGCAACAACUGAAAGAACUAUGAUUUUGGUCAUUUCAAUGAUUUCCUCUGCAGAAGACUACUUGGUUCUUUUAAAUGAAAUUAAAAGUUUGAUUCUUUGUUAGUGAAGAACAUAGCUUUUUAACUUGGUUGUUCGUGAUAUAAGAAAGUCUGUAAAAAAAUGAAUUAUGUCUUCAGUAUUAUCAUUGGUCAAAUUAUCAUUUGGAGACUUUCUAUGGAUAUAUCUGCUAAAGAUGGAUAUAUCUGCUAUCUCACCUUAGACCAAGUAUUAGGUGAUUAAAACCCAAAUUCUUUUUUUUUCUUACAUUCUUUUUCUUUUCUUAACAUUUGAAUAUUCACGUUCUUAGUAUAUAGAUUGUGGAUAUAUCACUAAGCAAAGCUAUAGAUGUGAUUGGUGCGAAGUGUGGGAAGUCAUUCUGCUGGUGUUGUGACAACAUUUUAUGCAAGUUCAGAAAACUUUGUGAAUGAAAUGAAAAAUCAGUACAUAUAAAUGGGUGUAAUGGGGAUUUUAAUUUACAUUGGGUGCAAAUGUGCUCGGAAGUUGAGGCAGGGCCGUUGAGAGGAGAGAUACAUUUUGAGUUCUUGGGAAACAGAACAUAAUAGCUUUAUCUUAUUCAAAGCUAGAGCAAUAUUUUUGUAGACAUGAUUCAAUUGAUAAAACAAAUCAUGUUGUAUCCUCUUUUGUCUAAUAUUUUCCGUUAUUGGUUUA